rnacentral:rRNA from 1 species
AUUGAACGCUGGCGGAAUGCUUUACACAUGCAAGUCGAGCGGCAGCGCGGGGGCAACCCUGGCGGCGAGCGGCGAACGGGUGAGUAACAUAUCGGAACGUACCCCGUCGUGGGGGAUAACACAGCGAAAGCUGUGCUAAUACCGCAUACGACCUGAGGGUGAAAGCGGGGGAUCGCAAGACCUCGCGCGAUGGGAGCGGCCGAUAUCGGAUUAGCUUGUUGGUGAGGUAAAGGCUCACCAAGGCGACGAUCCGUAGCUGGUCUGAGAGGACGACCAGCCACACUGGAACUGAGACACGGUCCAGACUCCUACGGGAGGCAGCAGUGGGGAAUUUUGGACAAUGGGGGCAACCCUGAUCCAGCCAUUCCGCGUGAGUGAAG